rfam:Triticum aestivum genome assembly, contig: Triticum_aestivum_CS42_TGACv1_scaffold_153288_2BS
CUAGUACUCCCUCCGUCCGGAAAUACUUGUCAUUGAAAUGGAUUAUCUAGAUGUAUUUUAGUUAUAGAUACAUCCAUUUUAAUCCAUUUUGAUGACAAGUAUUUCCGGACGGAGGGAGUACAUG